rnacentral:rRNA from 1 species
AGUGAACGCUGGCGGUAGGCCUAACACAUGCAAGUCGAACGGCAGCACAGUAAGAGCUUGCUCUUAUGGGUUGCGAGUGGCGGACGGGUCAGGUAUACAUCGGAAUCUACUCUUUCGUGGGGGAUAACGUAGGGAAACUUACUCCCAUACCGCAUACGAUCCACGGGUGAAAGCAGGGGAUCUUCGGACCUUGCGGGAAUGAAUGAGCCGCUGAUGGAUUAGCUAGUUGGCGGGGUAAAGGCCCACCAAGGCGACGAUCCGUAGCCGGACUGAGUGGAUGGUCAGCCACACUAGAGGUGGAACGCGGUCAAGGCUACUACGAGAGGCAGCAGUCGGGUAUGGUGGGCAGUAGGCGCGAGCAUGAUCCAGCCAGAGCGCGUGGGUGAAGGAGGCGUUGGGGUUGUGAAGACCUUUUGUUGGGAAAGAACCGCAGUAGGUUGAGACCCCGCGGUUCUGACGGUACCCAAAGAAUAAGCACCGGCUAACUUCGUG